GUCUAACCACCUCAUAACAAAGACCAACAAGCAGCCUAGGGAGACUGCAGCCAUCAGAACCUGCAGAUUGGCAGCCUUGGAUGCAUUCCAUCAACAGCUGCAACAGCUACACCAACUUGAAGCAGACAAGGAACAAAUACAAGCUAAUGGUUGUUGGAGAUACAGGCAACAGUGGAACCCAGAAGGAACUCCAACACCCUCAGAGACAACAUCCAAGAACCAACAACAAUAUCAUGAGUAGCUGUAGAAUGAUACACCUCCAUCAACUCCAUAUACAUACUGUGGAAACACAACACCAAACAACUACUCAGCCACACACCAAACAACAACUCAACCACAGAGCUGAAGCUGAAAGUGCAGAAUUGAAAGAUGAAGUUCAACAGCAUCAGCAACAACAGAGGCCAAAACCAACACACCCACGUACAGCAACCUCCAGACUUGGUUGCUUGUGCAUGUUUCUGGUUUUGUCUGUCUGUGCAGGUGCACAGCUACACUUUCUUCCACAACAAAUCAAAGGCUGUUGGCUACUAUAGUUCCAUAUAUUUCCUAUCCUUUCAGCCUCCUUAGCUGGUAAUCAUGAUACUGAUACAAAGGCAUAUUUCACCUGGAUUUUCUUGGUACGACAAGACUAAAAAGAGCAAAGAUGAAAAGAAUUUCCCAUCCCAUGCGAGAUAGAAGUUUCGUAUACUUGUUCUUCUUCAAUGUAGCUAUGUCUGGUACGUAGCAUAGUUGGAAUAGGACUAGUGUAGGUUACUUUUCUUUUUUCUCAUGGAAGGGGAGAGUCUCCCUCAUUUAUGCUUUCAUAGUUGAAUUGUACCGGGAGGAGUCCUCUCACAGGUUUACUGCUUUCUAGUUAUAGUUAGUCUCUUUUUGUAUCGGGGAUGAGUUAGCCGACCUUAAUAGGUUAGCCGACUUAUGAACCACCAUAAGAUCGGAGGUAAGGUUUAU